AUUGAACGCUGGCGGCAGGCCUAACACAUGUAAGUCGAACGAGUGGCGGACGGGUGAGUAAUGUCUGGGAAACUGCCUGAUGGAGGGGGAUAACUACUGGAAACGGUAGCUAAUACCGCAUACCAUCAGAUGUGCCCAGAUGGGAUUAGCUUGUUGGUGGGGUAACGGCUCACCAAGUCGACGAUCCCGAGCUGGUCUGAGAUGAUGAACAGCAACACUGGACCUGGGACACUGUCCAGACUCCUACGGGAGGCAGCAGUGGGUAAUAUUGCACAAUUGGCUCAAUCCUGAUGCAGCCAUGCCGCGUGUAUGAAGAAGGCCUUCGGGUUGUAAAGUACUUUCAGCGGGGAGGCGUUACCCGCAGAAGAAGCACCGGCUAACUCCUUUCCAGCAGCCGCGGUAAUAC
rnacentral:rRNA from 1 species